AGAGUUUGAUCCUGGCUCAGAUUGAACGCUGGCGGCGUGCUUAAAACAUGCAAGUCGAACGAGGUCCAAGGAGUGGCAACACUCCGGAAGACCUAGUGGCGAACGGGUGCGUAACACGUGAGGAACCUGCCCCGGAGACCGGGAUAACCCUCCGAAAGGAGAGCUAAUACCGGAUGUCCUCGUCUGAUCGCAUGGUCGGACGAAGAAAUGGAUUCCGCUCCGGGAUGGCCUCGCGGCCUAUCAGCUUGUUGGUGGGGUAACGGCCUACCAAGGCAGCGACGGGUAGCUGGUCUGAGAGGACGAUCAGCCACACUGGGACUGAGACACGGCCCAGACUCCUACGGGAGGCAGCAGUUAGGAAUCUUGCGCAAUGGGCGAAAGCCUGACGCAGCAACGCCGCGUGGGGGAUGAAGGCUCUCGGGUUGUAAACCCCUUUCAGCAGGGACGAUUGUGACGGUACCUGCAGAAGAAGGACCGGCCAACUACGUGCCAGCAGCCGCGGUAAUUC
rnacentral:rRNA from 1 species